rnacentral:rRNA from 1 species
UACGGAGGGUGCAAGCGUUGUUCGGAUUUAUUGGGCUUAAAGGGUGCGUAGGCGGUUUGUUAAGUCUGGUUUGAAAGCGGGCGGCUCAACCGGCGGAUGUGGCUGGAAACUGGCGGACUGGAAUGGGGUGGCGGCUGCCGGAACGGGUCAUGUAGCGGUGAAAUGCAUAGAUAUGACCAAGAACCCCGAUUGCGAAGGCAGGCAGCUGCGACCGGAUUGACACUGAGGCACGAGAGCAUGGGUAGCGAACAGG